CUUCCUUUCUUAUUAACAUAAAGCACUUGGUGUAGCUUUGCAAGAUAAUGUGGAAUUGCAUUCAUUCCUCCAACAUCAAACAUAUGCUUCAUUAAUAUCAAAUUAAUAUCCCAAAGCCUUAUCCUUCUGCAUUUCUGCCUUUGAGAUAUUUUAAGGCUAAAUUAUUGAUGGCAAUUAAACAGAACCCAGAUAGUAACAACAUUGCACAUAAAACAAAUGAAGUGGUAACCAAGUUUUUAUAAGCACAGGUAAUGCUGCUAGGUUCUGACUUUCACCUGAUGCAAAGGGAUAGUAAAGGGCAACAUCCCAUCCUGAUUUUGCCAAUAGUAAAUUGUGGAAAAACAUUCACCUUAGUAUCAAUGAAAUAUGUGAAUGUGGCUGCAAUUAGUUAUUUGAAAUAGAAUUUUUCUUCAUAUUACUUUACAAGUAUAAAAUAGAAUAAACUUAGUAAAGGAGCAGAAACAAAUAAAAAUGGAAUUAACCUUUCUCCCAGCUAAAGGAAACAUGAAAACACAUUGUUUUUCUUCUUUUGGAAAAAGAAAAAAAAUGCAUUUACAUUUAGAGAGACAAAAUAUUUCUAGGACCUACAUCUAAAUAGUAAUGUUAGUAAUACUCUCUACUGCUUUUCAAUGCAUAUUUAAUUAUGUUACCUGAAAAAAUAUAUACUCCAAAUAAAUGAUCUAAUUCCGGUAUUCCAUGUACAUGGAUAGGCGAGGAAGGGAAAUAGUCCAUGUACAUAGAUAGGUGAGGAAGGGAGACAGUAGGUUUGGAUGGAAUAGAGCUUCCUUUGAUUCCAUCCCAUGCCAGGAGUCAACUGCUUAUAAGACGUUGUCCACCCUCAUCCCAGCCCUAGUGACUCCUUCAUUGUACCCAAUACUGGGUGCCUAGUAAUUACUUCUAAAUGAUGAAAUCUUAGCAUAUGUGGGAGUAGGAAUUGGUGCCCCACCCAAAACCUCUUUAAUGGGCCAUUUUACCCAUCCCUCAGCUACCAUAUUGAUUGUUACUGGCUCAGAGUUGUCCCCUACUUUAAUUGACCUUGGACAACAGAAGUCACUUCACUUGUGGGCAGAUAGGGAGGGAGGUAAGUCGGUAAGCAGGGUAUUUAUCCACUCCCUGGGAAUGGUCUGCAGCUCAUGAUUUCAGCCCCUGACAUUAGGUACAAAUUGGCUAUCCUUGACCUCAAGGUGGGAAUUACUCGGUGGUACAAUUCAUACUCCAGAAAUCUCCCUGAGAUCAGGCGUGAAGUUAGGCUAACCUACUUACUUAACCCAUUUUCCUGCCUCACCCUACUGAAUUCACAUCCCUUGCCCAUGUUUCCACUUAAGAGAACCCCACUCUUACCCUCAUCUCAAUAAAUCACCUGCAUGAGAAUCCUCACCUCCAGCUCCAGGAUCAAAGAAACUUAAACCAAGGAAGCUCUAUCCCAAGGGUCUUUGCAUUUUUAUAUUGAACCUGUUCCUUUCUCUGUCUCUCCAUAUGCAGUCAGCUCUACUCGUAGAAUCUAGAUCAGAAAGACAAACCUGGCUUUGCCUUCGCUAAGUUACUUUUUCAUCUGCUACCACUCCUGUCUCAUGAAGGGAAGAGAAAGAAAACUUCAAGCUGCAUCCUCUACCAACCACCCCAAAGAAAAGAAAUAAAGAGAUAGAGACUUCUCAGCCAUUGCCCAGAGAUAAUUUCAGAGCUUACAGAGAAAACCUUAAGGAAAAUCGUUUUUGAAGCCCUGGACAUUUGUCCAUCCCUUUAGUAGGGGUCAUUCUCAUGAAUGUGGUUUUAAAAGGUUUUUUUUGGAUUCCAUCAUCUCUCCAUCUAUUAUCGUCCUUUGUCCUGGGCCAGCUGUGCUGUGAUUGGCAGAUUUACCCGUGCAAAAUUCAGUUCCCUUUACAACUCUUUCCCUUUUCACCAUGCUUAUUUUUUCUAAAUUCCUUCUUUUUCCACGCUCAUCCAUGAGAUGGAUGGUUGCUUUUUAUCUGGGCAGUUCUUCUGAAAACAAAGCCUUCAAAGGAUGUGAAUCAAAAUGUCUCUAUGUUGGAGAAAAAAUAAAAAAGAAAUAUCCUUUUGAAUCAAAGACCUAAAAAUU
rnacentral:lncRNA from 10 species